CCUACGGGAGGCAGCAGUGGGGGAUAUUGCACAAUGGGGGGAACCCUGAUGCAGCGACGCCGCGUGGGUGAAGGAGCGUUUCGGCGCGUAAAGCCCUAUCGGCAGGGAAGAAGGAGGACGGUACCUGACUAAGAAGCCCCUGCUAACUACGUGCCAGCAGCCGCGGUAAUACGUAGGGGGCAAGCGUUAUCCGGAUUUACUGGGUGUAAAGGGGGCGCAGACGGCAGCGCAAGCUAGGAGUGAAAGCCCGGGGCCCAACCCCGGGACGGCUCUUGGAACUGCGCGGCUGGAGUGCAGGAGGAGCAGGCGGAAUGCCUGGUGUAGCGGUGAAAUGCGUAGAUAUCAGGAGGAACACCGGUGGCGAAGGCGGCCUGCUGGACUGCGACUGACGUUGAGGCCCGAAAGCGUGGGGAGCGAACAGGAUUAGAUACCCCGGUAGUC
rnacentral:rRNA from 1 species